GACGAACGCUGGCGGCGUGCUUAACACAUGCAAGUCGAACGGAGCACCCCUGAUUGAGGUUUCGGCCAAAUGAUAGGAAUGCUUAGUGGCGGACUGGUGAGUAACGCGUGAGGAACCUGCCUUUCAGAGGGGGACAACAGUUGGAAACGACUGCUAAUACCGCAUGACGCAUUUUGAUCGCAUGGUCGAAAUGCCAAAGAUUUAUCGCUGAAAGAUGGCCUCGCGUCUGAUUAGCUAGUUGGUGAGGUAACGGCCCACCAAGGCGACGAUCAGUAGCCGGACUGAGAGGUUGACCGGCCACAUUGGGACUGAGAUACGGCCCAGACUCCUACGGGAGGCAGCAGUGGGGAAUAUUGGGCAGUGGGCGCAAGCCUGACCCAGCAACGCCGCGUGAAGGAAGAAGGCUUUCGGGUUGUAAACUUCUUUUAAGUGGGAAGAGCAGAAGACGGUACCACUUGAAUAAGCCACGGCUAACUACGUGCCAGCCGCCGCGGUAA
rnacentral:rRNA from 1 species